rnacentral:rRNA from 1 species
UACGGAGGGUGCAAGCGUUAUCCGGAUUCACUGGGUUUAAAGGGUGCGUAGGCGGGCAGGUAAGUCAGUGGUGAAAUCUCCGGGCUUAACCCGGAAACUGCCGUUGAUACUAUCUGUCUUGAAUAUCGUGGAGGUAAGCGGAAUAUGUCAUGUAGCGGUGAAAUGCUUAGAUAUGACAUGGAACACCCAUUGCGAAGGCAGCUUACUACACGAUCAUUGACGCUGAGGCACGAAAGCGUGGGGAGCAAACAGG